GAGCAUGCUAUCCUAAGGACCUGAGCUUUGUUUGUGGCUCAGUGUUCUCCAAGUGUGUGCUAGAUAAUUGGGUGGUCUUUGACUGCUGUGGCCCAUUUCUGUCAUCAGCAGCCACUCAGCUGUCCUACAGAU
ensembl:snoRNA small nucleolar RNA SNORA44